CAGAGCCUGGCUAUGUUGCUACACCAAUUGCGAUGGUUCAAGCAGCUGUCUCUCUUCUGGAAGAUGCAGCUUCUCUGCCUAAACGGGGUGGUGUAUAUUCUCCGGGAGCUGCCUUCUUUAAAACAAAAUUGAUUGAUCGCCUCAACAAGCGUGGCGUUGAGUUCUCUGUUAUUAGCAAGCCUGAAGUCUGAAGUCAAAAUGUAACUGUAUGAAGUAACACCUUUCCUGGGUCUAACUCCAAUAAAACUCAUUUGGCAGCAAAAGCC